rnacentral:rRNA from 1 species
AUUGAACGCUGGCGGAAUGCUUUACACAUGCAAGUCGAACGGCAGCACGGACUUCGGUCUGGUGGCGAGUGGCGAAUGGGUGAGUAAUGUAUCGGAACGUGCCCAGUCGUGGGGGAUAACGUAGUGAAGAUUACGCUAAUACCGCAUACGAUCUAUGGAUGAAAGCGGGGGAUCGCAAGACCUCGCGCGAUCGGAGCGGCCGAUAUCAGAUUAGGUAGUUGGUGGGGUAAAGGCCCACCAAGCCAACGAUCUGUAGCUGGUCUGAGAGGACGACCAGCCACACUGGAACUGAGACACGGUCCAGACUCCUACGGGAGGCAGCAGUGGGGAAUUUUGGACAAUGGGCGAAAGCCUGAUCCAGCCAUUCCGCGUGCAGGAUGAAGGCCCUCGGGUUGUAAACUGCUUUUGUACAGAACGAAAAGGUUUCUACUAAUACUAGGAGCUCAUGACGGUACUGUAAGAAUAAGCACCGGCUAACUACGUGCCAGCAGCCGCCGUAA